UUGUUUGGGCCUUAAACAGUGCACGGUCUUUGUUCAGGAUACAGGUGAAUGACAAUCAUGUGAUUAACACACACUCGCGCACACACACGCACGCACAUAAAAAGCUUUUUAAGAGCGUCCAGCUUGCUCCAGACCCAAAGACGGGAGAGGAAGCCCGGGCUAGGAGGAGCUGAGGCGGCGGCGGUGGCCGGGAUGGGCACAGGCACUGGAAUGGAUGAGCGGGCACCACCUCCUCUUUGCAAAAUGCCCUUCAUGUGAAGUGUUGCUUCAUGGCUACACAGGAAGGCUUGAAAAUAUUGCAUGGUGACACGGCAGCUUUGCUUGUAAUGGAAAACAGCUCUGGUGAGCCAAGGAGAGAUCUUGGACACAUCUCUACUUUCCUGAGAAGGAGACCUUGGAGUGAUUCAUCCUCUUUCAUGACCCCCUGCCUCCUCUCUGCUCAGCUGCAUCAUGGGCAGCCCAUGUGACAACACCUGGUAGCACAGGGUGACUUAAGGCUCUGGUGAUGCAAAAUGGUCAACUCUGCCAUGUGAAGUACAGCACCUUCAGGGUACCCCUUCAGGUCAGCUCUGUUGUCCACGGCCACAGCAUGGACAACAACCUGAGCUCACCAGCCUGGCAGCAAGUAUAGGUCGGGCAGACGGCGACCUGCGUGCUGUGAAAACAGAGCUGUGCUGGAGUCAUGAGUUGCUUUUGCUGGCCAAAACAUAUCUCAUCAAAGCCUCCCCUCCUCCCCCCAGCACCAGGUCAGUGUAAAACCAGGCUUAAGCACCAGCCUGUGUCUCACCAUCCUCUGGGAGAUGCAUGGUGCCACUGGGAUGGACUCUGCCUGUGCCCUGCUCCCUGUGCCACCACCACUGCCACAAUGAGUGUGCCUUGUCAUAGAGGGGUUAAUAAAUGAUGCAAGAAAGAAGCCCUUUAA